rnacentral:rRNA from 1 species
UACGUAGGGGGCAAGCGUUAUCCGGAUUUAUUGGGUGUAAAGGGCGUGUAGGCGGGAAUGCAAGUCAGAUGUGAAAACUAUGGGCUCAACCCAUAGCCUGCAUUUGAAACUGUAUUUCUUAGUGCUGGAGAGGCAAUCGGAAUUCCGUGUGUAGCGGUGAAAUGCGUAGAUAUACGGAGGAACACCAGUGGCGAAGGCGGACUGCUGGACAGUAACUGACGCUGAGGCGCGAAAGCGUGGGGAGCAAACAGG